GAUGAACGCUAGCGGCAGGCUUAAUACAUGCAAGUCGAGGGGCAGCAGGUUUGUAGCAAUACAGAUGCUGGCGACCGGCAAACGGGUGCGGAACACGUACAGAACCUUCCUUUAAGCGGGGAAUAGCCCAGAGAAAUUUGGAUUAAUACACCAUAGUAUUGUUGAGUGGCAUCACUUGAUGAUUAAAGAUUUAUCACUUAAAGAUUGCUGUGCGGCUGAUGAGGUAGUUGGCGGGGUAACGGCCCACCAAGCCUUGGAUCAGUAACUGGUGUGAGCGCACGACCAGUCACACGGGGACUGAGACACGGGCCCGAGUCCUGCGGGAGGCAGCAGUAAGGAAUAUUGGGCAAUGGACGGAAGUGUGACCCAGCCAUGCCGCGUGGAGGAUGAAGGUCCUCUGGAUUGUAAACUUCUUUUAUUUGGAAAGAAACCCGAUUUUUCUAAGUCGGUUGACGGUACCAGAUGAAUAAGCACCGGCUAACUCCGUGCCAGCCGCCGCCGUAAUAC
rnacentral:rRNA from 1 species